GGAUGCGAUCAUACCAGCACUAAAGCACCGGAUCCCAUCAGAACUCCGAAGUUAAGCGUGCUUGGGAGAGAGUAGUACUAGGAUGGGUGACCUCUUGGGAAGUCCUCGUGUUGCAUUCC
rnacentral:rRNA from 1 species